rnacentral:rRNA from 1 species
UGGGGAAUAUUGCACAAUGUGGGAAACCCUGAUGCAGCGACGCCGCGUGAGCGAAGAAGUAUUUCGGUAUGUAAAGCUCUAUCAGCAGGGAAGAAAAUGACGGUACCUGACUAAGAAGCCCCGGCUAAAUACGUGCCAGCAGCCGCGGUAAUACGUAUGGGGCAAGCGUUAUCCGGAUUUACUGGGUGUAAAGGGAGCGCAGGCGGCUUGGCAAGUCUGAUGUGAAAGGCUGGGGCUCAACCCCAGGACUGCAUUGGAAACUGUUAGGCUGGAGUGUCGGAGAGGUAAGCGGAAUUCCUAGUGUAGCGGUGAAAUGCGUAGAUAUUAGGAGGAACACCAGUGGCGAAGGCGGCUUACUGGACGACAACUGACGCUGAGGCUCGAAAGCGUGGGGAGCAAACA